GCCUGGGUGGCGGAAUGGAAUACGCGCGACGCUUAAAACGUUGUGCUCGGCAACGAGCUUGUGGGUUCGAAUCCCACCCCAGGCA
rnacentral:tRNA from 1 species